CAGUCGCCGCGGGAAAACGGAGGGUGCAAGCGUUAUCCGGAUUUAUUGGGUUUAAAGGGUCCGUAGGCGGACUUAUAAGUCAGUGGUGAAAGCCUGUCGCUUAACGAUAGAACUGCCAUUGAUACUGUAAGUCUUGAGUAUAUUUGAGGUAGCUGGAAUAAGUAGUGUAGCGGUGAAAUGCAUAGAUAUUACUUAGAACACCAAUUGCGAAGGCAGGUUACCAAGAUAUAACUGACGCUGAGGGACGAAAGCGUGGGUAGCGAACAGGAUUAGAUACCCCUGUAGUCCCUGUCUCUUAUAC
rnacentral:rRNA from 1 species